GAGGAGUAAGAGGCCCAAGAGGGCUGCAGACUGGCAGGGAAAGUGAAGAAUUGAAGGGUAGACCACUAACGAUAGCAGAGGAAAUAAAGGUAGAUGGUGGGCUAAGAAUAAUGGGAGAGGGAUUGACGAAAGAAGUAUGGGCUGAGGGAGGGAUGAUGGUGGAGGCCAGUGUGACCGAGGGGAGGGGAAAGGUGGAAGAAGCAGAGUGGGAUAGCGUCCUGGGAAAGAAGUGAAGGAGGUCGGUGGACCGCUAAGGGUUAGACUCCUAGAGGCUGGAGAGCGGCGCGUGGGGGAGGCGGGGCGCGGAGGGGGGGUUAAGGGGCGUUAGCAGCGCAUGCGCUGGAAGCACACUGCGGCGAUUCUGGAGAGGUUGUCCUUUUCUGGCAUCAGCGUUGCGGCUCGAGGCAAAGCUGGUCCUGUGCCUGCUGUCCAUUGCCGCUAAGGCCUGCUGCUGCCAUUCAGGCGUGUCUCUCUCUCUCUCUCUCUUUCAUGCCGCUCUCUCCACCCCAUCUUGGGACGGCCAGCUCUAAGAAUUCCUGCUACGACACUGAAUUCAACCAGGAGGUGAUGCCACACUCAAUCAGAAACUAUGCUACUGCUGAAGAGGUAUAUUGAGCCCUGCCUGGUUAACCUCCAGUGAGGUUAUUAGAGAAUUGGGAGAGGCUCAAAUCAGCAUCCUGCACCUAGUUAUCAAACCAUUGUGAAGUCUUGAUUCCUGGAUGGCCAGAAAACUUGUCAUUGGUCAAGAGCAACAUUAAGAUCUGCCUGUUACUCAUACUGAUGCUUCCUGCCCAGCAAGUUCAUCAGAGGGCGAGGAUGAAUUACGGUUGCCAUGAAUGUCCUUGUGAGGCAGUUGGGAAGCCUUGGCUGGAUUGUGAAGGAUAUUUGAAAAGUAUUUUAGAGUCCACCAGAUCAUCCAUGUGAGUGACCAUGCAGCAAAAGAAGGAGGGUCCUCUCAGUGAUUAAGGUAACAUAGUGAUUAAGGAUUAUGAAGUAUUAAUUCUUCCACUGAUAUCUCAAAAGGUGAUCUGGACAAAGGAACAGGUAUCUCAGCUUCCAAGUUUGCUGGAGCCAUGUUUUCUCUAAUGUCCCCACAGAACAGUGGUUGGUAGGAUGGCG
rnacentral:lncRNA from 1 species